UGUCUCUUUAAAUAGGCUUGCCCAAGG
rnacentral:piRNA from 1 species